rnacentral:rRNA from 1 species
UACGUAGGGGGCGAGCGUUGUCCGAAUUUACUGGGCGUAAAGCGCGCGUAGGCGGGCUCCUAAGUUGGGGGUGAAAUGCCGGAGCUCAACUCCGGAACUGCCUCCAAAACUGGGAGCCUUGAGGUAUGGAGAGGGAAGUGGAAUUCCUGGUGUAGCGGUGAAAUGCGUAGAUAUCAGGAGGAACACCUGUGGCGAAGGCGGCUUCCUGGCCAUAUCCUGACGCUGAGGCGCGAAAGCUAGGGGAG